CCUACGGGAGGCAGCAGUGGGGGAUAUUGCACAAUGGGGGAAACCCUGAUGCAGCGACGCCGCGUGGGCGAAGAAGUAUUUCGGUAUGUAAAGCCCUAUCAGCAGGGAAGAAGAAAUGACGCUACCUGAGUAAGAAGCACCGGCUAAAUACGUGCAAGCAGCCGCGGUAAUACGUAUGGUGCAAGCGUUAUCCGGAUUUACUGGGUGUAAAGGGAGCGUAGGCGGCAGUGCAAGUUUGGCGGGAAAGGCGGGGGCUCAACCACCGGACUGCUCUGGAAACUGUACGGCUGGAGUGCAGGAGAGGUAAGUGGAAUUCCUAGUGUAGCGGUGAAAUGCGUAGAUAUUAGGAGGAACACCAGUGGCGAAGGCGGCUUACUGGACUGUAACUGACGUUGAGGCUCGAAAGCGUGGGGAGCAAACAGGAUUAGAUACCCUUGUAGUC
rnacentral:rRNA from 1 species